UCCUUAGACCUCCUGGACUACAGCUCUGCUCUGUGCAACUGAUUACUCUAUUGACAAAAUCAUAAAACGGAAAAGCUGAAGAAAUACAUAUAACACCAAAAUCUUGUCCCUAGCUCCAAGAAACAGAUGCAUGACGCAAAGCUAUAUAAAUAUCAUCUCAGUCUCACAGGACCAUUUAUUCUUGUUUCUUGAGUAUAUCUUAGCUCUUGAAAGAAAAAUUACAGCUGAUAGAAUUGAUACGUGCGAAGGAAGAGAAGAAAUAGAUAAGGUGACCUCAUGAAUUGUGUGCUAAAGAAGUUUGUGCCUACAAAUGAAGGAAAUUUCAUUCACACUUGAUUAAUUGGAAUCUGGAGAGCAAGGGCACUGAUGAGGAGAAAAGAUGAAGAUCAAAUUCCUGUGGAAAUAAAAUCCUAAAAACUGGGCUAUCAAUCCAACAGGACAGAUUCCUUAUACAAUAGGUGCCUCUUAAAUUAGGUGCUGUAAAUUAACCAGCUCAACUAAACGUAAGCAGGAUCUUAUCACUGUAAUGCACAAUAACGUCUACAUUAUUAAAAUUCCACUAAAGAAAACUUAGUGUGAGAUAAUGCAGACAUGAAUGAUCAUUUAACAUUAAUCCUGAUGACAGCCAUUUCCACAUUGCUAUUGAAAUUCCCUCCUUCCUACAUUCUCAUUUCCAAAUACAAUACAAACAGCAUGCUCUAAUCAAUCAAAUGUACAUUCACCAUAUUUUUUAUACAAGGCCUUGUAUCUCCGAUAUAUAAGCUGCUGACAAUCAUUUAUCUUUCCUCUUGCUUUGUAGUCUCCCUAAAUGAAAGAACAGUUAGAGAAAGUUGUAGUUUCAGCAGUGAUUUUUACAUUUAGAAUUUGUUUAAUGACAAAUUACUGAUGUUAAUAACAGCCAGACCAAAAGAUUGUCAAGUUUAUCCAGCACAGCAACACCUGACUGUGAUUUUAUUGCUUUGAGAUUUGGUCUAAAUCAGAAUAAACUGCUUUGAUCAGCUCUGCAAA